rnacentral:rRNA from 1 species
UGGGGAAUAUUGGACAAUGGGCGCAAGCCUGAUCCAGCCAUGCCGCGUGAGUGAUGAAGGCCUUAGGGUUGUAAAGCUCUUUUAGCGGGGAAGAUAAUGACGGUACCCGCAGAAAAAGCCCCGGCUAACUUCGUGCCAGCAGCCGCGGUAAUACGAAGGGGGCUAGCGUUGCUCGGAAUUACUGGGCGCAAAGCGCACGUAGGCGGACUCUUAAGUCGGUGGUGAAAUCCUGGAGCUCAACUCCAGAACUGCCUUCGAUACUGGGAGUCUUGAGUUCGGGAGAGGUGAGUGGAACUGCGAGUGUAGAGGUGAAAUUCGUAGAUAUUCGCAAGAACACCAGUGGCGAAGGCGGCUCACUGGCCCGAUACUGACGCUGAGGUGCGAAAGCGUGGGGAGCAAACA